GGAGUGAUAUACUGUCAACAAUUGUAGCACGGCGAAGUAUGUGAUUCAAAGAAAGUACCAAUGAAAAUCUACAAACGAUACGGAUCGAAGGUGGGAUCCUUUUCUCUCGAGGCAAGUUCGCAGGCUUUGACCAAAAAAUAAAUUUCAAUUAACUUGGAGUGGAGAUAGUGCGUAAAGCGCAAAUUAAAUCAUAAGCGGGCAAGUAUUCCUAGCCAAGCUAGCUCUCCGUACCUGCAUCUACAUGCAACCAACUACAUACUAGUAGCAGCUCCUGCAUGCUAUUCGUCGCCAAAUUAAGAAGAUCGAGGGAGAAACACACAAACCAGAGGGAGAUAUUUCUUUACAAAACAUAUAGUAGUAGAGUACGUGCAGUCAACACAUGGCUAGAAAAACCCUAGAUCGAGUAGUAGUAGUAGAGUUUCAUCAACAUAGAUACCAUGCAUUGUCUGGUGCUAAUGCAUAUGCUCGUAUCAAUACCAUGCUUGCCGGUGAUUAACUUCAACUACUACGUACUACUCCCUCCGUUCUGAAUUACUUGUCUUGGAUUUAUCUAGAUACGGAGGUAUCUAGCACUAAAAUGAGUCUAGAUACAUCCGUAUCUAGACAAAUCCAAGACAAGUAAUUCGGAACGGAGGGAGUACAUGCUUAGCUUGCACACCACGAGGGGAUCGGAAGCUCUGGACCGGAUCUUGAGCUCAGGCCGCCGCACCGCCUGCCCCUGCGCCUUCCGCUCCUUGGUUCCCGGCGCCGGCUCCGCCCUGCGGGGGGUUCCAGCAAGCCCGUAUCCCACGGAUCAUGAUGCGGCCGGUGAGGUUGAGGAUCCCCCCAAUGACCGCGAGAGCAGGGAUGGCCAGCACGCCGCAACCAAAACCCGCCAAAAAUCCCUCGCCGUACGGCGUCAUGGCUCAGUUCGUGGCUGGAAUUGAGCGGAGAGUGUGAUCGAUGGAUGCGGAGGUGAAGUGGAGGCCGCCCGGGGUGGAAGAAAGGAGGAUUAUAAAGACGAUUAAGAGCGGGGAAUCUCUCUUUCUCACUCACGCAAUGACGCUGGAAUUUUCCGCCUGUCCCAAAUGAGGAAAACGCGGCCAGCUUGCGUGUGCAGGCUGGGCUGGCUACUUUGGCACCGAUAAGGUAACCUGCAUACAUGUGAUAUGGGUCGAUGGCCUGCUCUGCU
rnacentral:lncRNA from 1 species